rnacentral:rRNA from 1 species
GAAGAACCUUACCACCUUUUGACAUGCCUGGACCGCCAGAGAGAUCUGGCUUUCUCUUCGGAGACUAGGACACAGGUGCUGCAUGGCUGUCGUCAGCUCGUGUCGUGAGAUGUUGGGUUAAGUCCCGCAACGAGCGCAACCCUCGCCAUUAGUUGCCAUCAUUUAGUUGGGAACUCUAAUGGGACUGCCGGUGAUAAGCCGGAGGAAGGUGGGGAUGACGUCAAGUCCUCAUGGCCCUUACAGGGUGGGCUACACACGGGUACAAUGGCGACUACAGAGGGUUAAUCCUUAAAAGUCGUCUCAGUUCGGAUUGUCCUCUGCAACUCGAGGGCAUGAAGUGGAAUCG